GCUGAUAUGGCUCAGUUGGUGAGAGCGCACCCUUGGUAAGGGUGAGGUCCCCAGUUCGACUCUGGGUAUCAGCACCA
rnacentral:tRNA from 1 species